AUGAACCUGGCUACCAGUUACAUUACAUGUACUAAAAUGUAAUAUGUGUUUUGUACAUAAUAAUUUCAUGUUUCCAAGAUAAACAUGAAUAAAUGAUGUUGUAUUUACAUGAAAUUCAACAACUUAACAUGUAUUAGAUUCAAUCAUGUUGAGAUAAACCAAGGAUCUUAUCACUAUGAAAAGCGGAAAUAUCAGAUCAAACAUCGCGAGAAGAGAACACAGCGUGUUGAGAAGACAAACGUUUGGCGGGCGUGUGGAAAAGGAGUUUGUGAGUGAAAGUGUCCUGUCUGCAUCUGACUUCAGGAGUUUCCUGACCAACCGUCUCUAACGGUCAUAUUUAAAAGUCAUAACGGACAGUUAUAAAGUACAAAACGUUUCUGUUGGUGUUUAAUUGUUUUUCUAUGAUUAAUACUUAUUUGUGGUGUUUUAUGUUUUGUACAUCUUUUUAAAUUGAGACCUCAUUUGUAAGUU